rnacentral:tRNA from 1 species
GGAAGGGUGCCAGAGCGGACGAAUGGAGCGGUCUUGAAAACCGUCGAGGGUCACGCCCUCCGUGGGUUCGAAUCCCACCCCUUCCGCCA